rnacentral:rRNA from 1 species
UGCGGUUAAUCGGACUCAACGCCGGGAAACUCACCAGUUAAGACAGCUGAAUGAUAGUCGGGCUGAAGACUCUACUUGAUAGCUGAGAGGAGGUGCAUGGCCGUCGUCAGUUCGUACUGUGAAGCAUCCUGUUAAGUCAGGCAACGAGCGAGACCCACGCCCACAGUUGCCAGCGUACUCUCCGGAGUGACGGGUACACUGUGGGGACCGCCGCUGCUAAAGCGGAGGAAGGAAUGGGCAACGGUAGGUCAGUAUGCCCCGAAUAUCCCGGGCUACACGCGAGCUACAAUGGUUGGUACAAUGGGUAUCUACCCCGAAAGGGGACGGGAAUCUCCUAAAACCAAUCUUAGUUCGGAUUGAGGGCUGCAACUCGCCCUCAUGAAGCUGGAAUCCGUAGUAAUCGCGUUUCAACAGAACGCGGUGAAUACGUCCCUGCUCCUU